CAGCAGAACCGGGGACUCCAUCCUGGGUCGGUGCCGGGAAGAGCUCGGUGAGACGGGAUGAAGCGAUGCUGUACUUGUUUCUAGUGGAGGCUCGGCGGCGGUGCUGAGGCGGACAGCGGCUGUGGGUGACACAUCAGUGACUACAGUUGACACCUACCUGUAGAAGAGCACCUCCUACCACCCCCUGAUUCUGACUUCUACAUGUGACUCCAAUCAAGAUGUAGAAACAUCUCAAAGACGAUCAAGAGAAAUGGGAGGCCUCUAGAUCUAAUUUUAGUUGUCAUAGCAAAGGCCUGAAUACUUAUAUUUAUGAAAAAAAAAUAAGUUUUUCUUUUUUAAUAAACUUGG